rnacentral:rRNA from 1 species
GACAGAGGUGCCGAGCGUUAGGCGGAAUCACUGGGCUUAAAGCGUGUGUAGGCGGAUCUGUAAGUACCUUGUGAAAUCCCACGGCUCAACCGUGGAACUGCUUGGUAUACUGCGGGUCUUGAGCCACCUAGGGGCAAGUGGAACAAACGGUGGAGCGGUGAAAUGCGUAGAUAUCAGGAGGAACACCGAUUGCGAAGGCAGCUCGCUGGAACGUUACUGACGCUGAGACGCGAAAGCGUGGGGAGCAAACAGG